rnacentral:lncRNA from 1 species
ACACUGCUAGGGCUGGUGCCAGGAGCUCAUGUGGAGCCUAACCCUUGGCCACAGGGAAAGAGUGUGGAGCUGUCUCUGCCCAUGGUUGUGGGAAGCUUCCAGAUUGCUGGUGUGAAAGGACGUGAAGACUGUUAUCUACCAGAGUGAUGUUUUUAUAACAUGAAGCUGUGGGAAUGUGUUGCAUGAAGUGUCUUGUGGCAAGAGGAGUGUUUGAGGGUACAGCGUUGACUGCUGCAAAGUUAAGAGAGUCUGCUGCACUUCCUCAGAGCAAGUGGAAAAAGUAUGGAGAACAGAUUUCUGAGUACUACCUAUGCCAUGGUGGGACAGUUCAGCCUUGCUUUCCACUGAGAUGAGCUAGCUGAGACCUGCUCUGAUUGCAGGGCAGAUGAGCUCCAUAGUGUCUCCUUCAAUCUUGAUUCUGCAGGGGUGUAAACCCAAGGACCUUUAGAUGGUCACCCAGUUCUUCAUGGUUUUCUGUAUGUUCUGAG